rnacentral:rRNA from 1 species
UACGUAGGGGGCAAGCGUUGUUCGGAUUUAUUGGGCGUAAAGCGCGUGUAGGCGGCCAGAUAGGUCUGCUGUGAAAACUCGAGGCUCAACCUCGAGCUGUCGGCGGAAACCAUCUGGCUAGAGUCCGGAAGAGGAGAGUGGAAUUCCUGGUGUAGCGGUGAAAUGCGCAGAUAUCAGGAAGAACACCGGUGGCGAAGGCGGCAUCCUGGACCAAUACUGACGCUGAGGAGCGAAAGCCAGGGGAGCAAACGGG